UUGAUGUUGGCUUAGUUGCUUUGAGCGUGGUGAUAAUGCUGCCAAGGUUGUGGGUUCAAUUCCCAUACAGCCAU
rnacentral:tRNA from 1 species